rnacentral:rRNA from 1 species
AGAGGUUGAACGGCCACAUUGGGACUGAGACACGGCCCAGACUCCUACGGGAGGCAGCAGUGGGGAAUAUUGCACAAUGGGGGAAAUCCUGAUGCAGCGACGCCGCGUGGAGGAAGAAGGUCUUCGGAUUGUAAACUCCUGUUGUUGGGGAAGAUAAUGACGGUACCCAACAAGGAAGUGACGGCUAACUACGUGCCAGCAGCCGCGGUAAAACGUAGGUCACAAGCGUUGUCCGGAAUUACUGGGUGUAAAGGGAGCGCAGGCGGGAAGACAAGUUGGAAGUGAAAUCUAUGGGCUCAACCCAUAAACUGCUUUCAAAACUGUUUUUCUUGAGUAGUGCAGAGGUAGGCGGAAUUCCCGGUGUAGCGGUGGAAUGCGUAGAUAUCGGGAGGAACACCAGUGGCGAAGGCGGCCUACUGGGCACCAACUGACGCUGAGGCUCGAAAGUGUGGGUAGCAAACAGGAUUAGAUACCCUGGUAGUCCACACCGUAAACGAUGAUUACUAGGUGUUGGAGGAUUGACCCCUUCAGUGCCGCAGUUAACACAAUAAGUAAUCCACCUGGGGAGUACGACCGCAAGGUUGAAACUCAAAGGAAUUGACGGGGGCCCGCACAAGCAGUGGAGUAUGUGGUUUAAUUCGACGCAACGCGAAGAACCUUACCAAGUCUUGACAUCCCUUGACAGACAUAGAAAUAUGUAUUCUCUUCGGAGCAAGGAGACAGGUGGUGCAUGGUUGUCGUCAGCUCGUGUCGUGAGAUGUUGGGUUAAGUCCCGCAACGAGCGCAACCCUUAUGGUCAGUUACUACGCAAGAGGACUCUGGCCAGACUGCCGUUGACAAAACGGAGGAAGGUGGGGAUGACGUCAAAUCAUCAUGCCCUUUAUGACUUGGGCUACACACGUACUACAAUGGCGUUAAACAAAGAGAAGCAAGACCGCGAGGUGGAGCAAAACUCAGAAACAACGUCCCAGUUCGGACUGCAGGCUGCAACUCGCCUGCACGAAGUCGGAAUUGCUAGUAAUCGUGGAUCAGCAUGCCACGGUGAAUACGUUCCCGGGCCUUGUACACACCGCCCGUCACACCAUGAGAGCCGGGGGGACCCGAAGUCGGUAGUCUAACCGCAAGGAGGACGCCGCCGAAGGUAAAACUGGUGAUUGGGGUGAAGUCGUAACAAGGUAGCCGUAGGAGAACCUGCGGCUG